rnacentral:rRNA from 1 species
CAGUCGAGCGAACAGAAAAGGAGCUUGCUCCUUUGACGUUAGCGGCGGACGGGUGAGUAACACGUGGGCAACCUACCCUAUAGUUUGGGAUAACUCCGGGAAACCGGGGCUAAUACCGAAUAAUCUCUUUUGCUUCAUGGCAAGAGACUGAAAGACGGUUUCGGCUGUCGCUAUAGGAUGGGCCCGCCGCGCAUUAACUAAGUGGGGAGGGAACGGCUCACCCAGGCGACGAUGCGUAGCCGAACUGAGAGGGUGAUCGGCCACACUGGGACUGAAACACGGCCCAGACUCCUACGGGAGGCAGCAGUAGGGAAUCUUCCACAAUGGGCGAAAGCCUGAUGGAGCAACGCCGCGUGAGUGAAGAAGGUUUUCGGAUCGUAAAACUCUGUUGGAAGGGAAGAACAAGUACAGUAGUAACUGGCUGUACCUUGACGGUACCUUAUUAGAAAGCCACGGCUAACUACGUGCCAGCAGCCGCGGUAAUACGUAGGUGGCAAGCGUUGUCCGGAAUUAUUGGGCGUAAAGCGCGCGCAGGCGGUCCUUUAAGUCUGAUGUGAAGCCCACGGCUCAACCGUGGAGGGUCAUUGGAAACUGGGGGACUUGAGUGCAGAAGAGGAAAGU